UGUUGUUAGGGAAGAACAAGUUACCGUUCGAAUAGGGCGGUACCUUGACGGUACCUAACCAGAAAGCCACGGCUAACUACGUGCCAGCAGCCGCGGUAAUUACGUAGGUGGCAAGCGUUGUCCGGAAUUAUUGGGCGUAAAGCGCGCGCAGGCGGUUUCUUAAGUCUGAUGUGAAAGGCCGCGGCUCAACCGUGGAGGGUCAUUGGAAACUGGGAGACUUGAGUGCAGAAGAGGAGAGUGGAAUUCCACGUGUAGCGGUGAAAUGCGUAGAUAUGUGGAGGAACACCAGUGGCGAAGGCGACUCUCUGGUCUGUAACUGACGCUGAGGCGCGAAAGCGUGGGGAGCGAACAGGAUUAGAUACCCUGGUAGUCCACGCCGUAAACGAUGAGUGCUAAGUGUUAGAGGGUUUCCGCCCUUUAGUGCUGCAGCAAACGCAUUAAGCACUCCGCCUGGGGAGUACGGCCGCAAGGCUGAAACUCAAAGGAAUUGACGGGGGCCCGCACAAGCGGUGGAGCAUGUGGUUUAAUUCGAAGCAACGCGAAGAACCUUACCAGGUCUUGACAUCCUUCGCUACCUCUAGAGAUAGAGGGUUCCCCUUCGGGGGACGAAGUGACAGGUGGUGCAUGGUUGUCGUCAGCUCGUGUCGUGAGAUGUUGGGUUAAGUCCCGCAACGAGCGCAACCCUUGACCUUAGUUGCCAGCAUUCAGUUGGGCACUCUAAGGUGACUGCCGGUGACAAACCGGAGGAAGGUGGGGAUGACGUCAAAUCAUCAUGCCCCUUAUGACCUGGGCUACACACGUGCUACAAUGGAUAGAACAAAGGGCAGCAAAGUCGCGAGGCUAAGCCAAUCCCAUAAAUCUAUUCUCAGUUCGGAUUGUAGGCUGCAACUCGCCUACAUGAAGCCGGAAUCGCUAGUAAUCGCGGAUCAGCAUGCCGCGGUGAAUACGUUCCCGGGCCUUGUACACACCGCCCGUCACACCACGAGAGUUUGUAACACCCGAAGUCGGUGGGGUAACCUUUUGGAGCCAGCCGCCUAAGGUGGGACAGAUGAUUGGGGUGAAGUCGUAACAAGGUAGCCGUAUCGGAAGGUGCGGCUGGAUCACCUCCUU
rnacentral:rRNA from 1 species